UAGGGAAUCUUCGGCAAUGGGGGCAACCCUGACCGAGCAACGCCGCGUGAGUGAAGAAGGUUUUCGGAUCGUAAAGCUCUGUUGUAGGAGAAGAACGUGUGUGAGAGUGGAAAGUUCACACAGUGACGGUAACUUACCAGAAAGGGACGGCUAACUACGUGCCAGCAGCCGCGGUAAUACGUAGGUCCCGAGCGUUGUCCGGAUUUAUUGGGCGUAAAGCGAGCGCAGGCGGUUUAAUAAGUCUGAAGUUAAAGGCAGUGGCUUAACCAUUGUUCGCUUUGGAAACUGUUAAACUUGAGUGCAGAAGGGGAGAGUGGAAUUCCAUGUGUAGCGGUGAAAUGCGUAGAUAUAUGGAGGAACACCGGUGGCGAAAGCGGCUCUCUGGUCUGUAACUGACGCUGAGGCUCGAAAGCGUGGGGAGCAAACAGG
rnacentral:rRNA from 1 species